AUUGAACGCUGGCGGCAUGCCUUACACAUGCAAGUCGAACGGCAGCACGGGUGCUUGCACCUGGUGGCGAGUGGCGAACGGGUGAGUAAUACAUCGGAACAUGUCCUGUAGUGGGGGAUAGCCCGGCGAAAGCCGGAUUAAUACCGCAUACGACAUACGGAUGAAAGCGGGGGACCUUCGGGCCUCGCGCUAUAGGGUUGGCCGAUGGCUGAUUAGCUAGUUGGUGGGGUAAAGGCCUACCAAGGCGACGAUCAGUAGCUGGUCUGAGAGGACGACCAGCCACACUGGGACUGAGACACGGCGCAGACUCCUACAGGAGGCAGCGGUGGGGAAUUUUGGACAAUGGGCGAAAGCCUGAUCCAGCAAUGCCGCGUGUGUGAAGAAGGCCUUCGGGUUGUAAAGCACUGUUGUCCGGAAAGAAAUCCUUGGCCCUAAUACGGUCGGGGGAUGACGGUACCGGAAGAAUAAGCACCGGCUAACUACGUG
rnacentral:rRNA from 1 species